GAUGAACGCUGGCGGCGUGCCUAAUACAUGCAAGUCGAGCGGUAAGGCCCUUCGGGGUACACGAGCGGCGGACGGCUGAGUAACACGUAGGAACGUACCCCAAAGUGAGGGAUAACUGCUCGAAAGAGUAGCUAAUACCGCAGGUGGUCUAAGGAUUAAAGCUUUAUGCGCUUUGGGAACGGCCUGCGUCCGAUUAGCUAGUUGGUAGUGUAAUGGACUACCAAGGCUUCGAUCGGUAGCUGGCCUGAGAGGAUGAUCAGCCAGACUGGGACUGAGACACGGCCCAGACUCCCACGGGAGGCAGCAGUAGGGAAUUUUCCACAAUGGGCGAAAGCCUGAUGGAGCAACGCCGCGUGCAGGAUGAAUGCCUUCGGGUUGUAAACUGCUUUUAUCUGUGACGAUUGUGACGGUAACAGAUGAAUAAGGAUCGGCUAACUCCGUGCCAGCCGCCGCAGUAA
rnacentral:rRNA from 1 species